AGAAAUCCUACAUAUGCAGUUAUUCUUUAGACCACAUUCAUUACUACUAUUUUGACACUGUUGAAUUUCACCCCAGUCCUGUAAUCCUGGAUUAGACCAUUCAUUUUCUUAAUGGAAGAAUAAGGCCAUACCUAAACAUAUUAAAAUAUUAUUCACUUUGACAAUGGAACUAGUUCCAAGACAUGAACUAUUGCUAUAUUAGAAACAAGAAGCAAUCAGUAUUUUUCAUUGCCUAAGAAUCUCUAUACUACAAAAAAUCCAUCACUUCUAAUGAAAUUGACACACAGAAAAUGAAGCCACAUGAACAUCUGAAAGAGAUUAAAAUGGAAUAAAAAGUCCUCAGUAGAAUUUUAAUGUAUUUUUAUAUUAGCAUCAAAGACCAAUAUUUUAUGGCUUCGGAUAUAUGCUUGCAACACAAUUAUUUUAAGAUACUUAUUAGAAAUCACACAGUGGUUUUAACUUACUAAGGUGCUGACAAGAGGCUGUUUUGUUUUAUGUGGUAUUGGCUAGAACUGCAUUCAUCUGGAGACUCAACUAUGUGGAACAUUUAAGGUGACUCCUACAAAACCGGCACCUGUCAGGAGCUCAGGGUCUUUCUUCUGGAGUGUCCCUGUGGUCUUUUAACCCACACCUCUCCUUUGGAUAGGCUUUCUCCCAGCUAUGCAGCUGGGUUCCAAGAAGGGUUACCCCUAACAGCAAAGAUAGAAACUACAGAUAUCUUAUGAUGCAGUACCAGAAGUUACACCAUGACACUUCCCCUGCAUUCUCUUGGGCCAAACAAGUCACAGGGUCUAACCAGAGUCAAGGACAAAGAAAUAGGCACUUUGUCUCUCCAUGGGAAGGAGUGACAGAAUUUGAAAGAAAAUUUAAUCCACUGUAUUUAUUUCAAUUCUACUUGACUGUGAGCUCCAAUAACUUUGGAGCAAAAUAACUUUUAUUCAUGACUGUGGUAGAAAAAUAUCAUUACAUAAAAGACACUUAAUGAAUAUGUGUUGAAUUCUUUUAAUAUAUAAAACCAAUCUAAUGCAUUGGCAUUAAAAUUCUUGUUUAAUUUUUAGAGUUAUGAUGGUUCAGUCUCACAUCUAAGUACCACAUAAUCCUACAAUUUAUGUAAUGUGAUAUCUACACAAUAAAAUGCACAUAUGCAGAGUUUAAGUUAUUUCAGACAGCCACAAACUAAAUUGAAGUUUUAUCUUUGUAUUAUCAGUAUAAAUAGGCCUGUUAAUCAAGUUAAUUGAGUAAACAAGACUAGAGGAACACUGGUUAAUUUAAUCAAGAGAUAAAACUGUCCAUGAGACAAUAAAAAAUUUUGGAACCUUUCAGAAUAUUGUUAAUAUCCAAGUGUAAAAUAAAACUAACUGUAUUUUGGCUUAAACAAGUACAUAUAAAUUUAUAAGUGUUUUAAAAACAUGUUUUCAAAGAUUCAAAAUAAACUAAAAGUGAUUACUAUUUUUGAAAUUCAUAAAUUUUUAUACUUUUCCUUGCAAUUUGCAUAUCAGCAGUAAAGAAAUGGUUCUCUGGUUUGUGCAGUUAUGAAAGUCAUAUUCUAUAAUUG